rnacentral:rRNA from 1 species
CUCUGACCAGCUAUCCCGCGUGAAGGAUUGAAGGCGCUCGACGUCGUAAACUUCUUUUAUAUAGGAAUAAACUUAGGUACGUGUACUUAACUGAAUGUACUAUAUGAAUAAGCAUCGGCUAACUCCGUGCCAGCAGCCGCGGUAAUACGGAGGAUGCAAGCGUUAUCCGGAUUUAUUGGGUUUAAAGGGUCCGCAGGCGGACUAUUAAGUCAGUGGUGAAAUCCCAUCGCUCAACGAUGGAACUGCCAUUGAAACUGCUAGUCUUGAGUCUAGUUGACGUAGGCGGAAUAUGACAUGUAGCGGUGAAAUGCAUAGAUAUGUCAUAGAACACCAAUUGCGAAGGCAGCUUACGAAACUAUGACUGACGCUCAUGGACGAAAGCGUGGGUAGCGAACAGGAUUAGAUACCCUGGUAGUCCACGCCGUAAACGAUGAUCACUCGAUGUCAGCGAUAUACUGUUGGUGUCUUAGCGAAAGUUUUAAGUGAUCCACCUGGGGAGUACGUUCGCAAGAAUGAAACUCAAAGGAAUUGACGGGGGCCCGCACAAGCGGUGGAGCAUGUGGUUUAAUUCGAUGAUACGCGAGGAACCUUACCUGGGCUUAAAUGUAGAGUGCUUUAGGUGGAAACAUCUUUUUCUUCGGACGCUCUACAAGGUGCUGCAUGGCUGUCGUCAGCUCGUGCUGUGAGGUGUCGGGUUAAGUCCCAUAACGAGCGCAACCCCUAUCUUUAGUUGCUAACAGGUAAUGCUGAGGACUCUAGAGAGACUGCCGGUGCAAACCGUGAGGAAGGUGGGGAUGACGUCAAGUCAGCACGGCCCUUACGUCCAGG